rnacentral:tRNA from 1 species
UGGGGUAUGGUUCAGUUGGUAGAAUACUUGCCUAGCAUGCAUGAAGCCCUGGGUUCUAGCCCCAGCAUCUCAU